AACGAACGCUGGCGGCAUGCCUAACACAUGCAAGUCGAACGAGACCUUCGGGUCUAGUGGCGCACGGGUGCGUAACGCGUGGGAACCUGCCCUUAGGUUCGGAAUAACUCCCCGAAAGGGGUGCUAAUACCGGAUAAUGUCUUCGGACCAAAGAUUUAUCGCCUUUGGAUGGGCCCGCGUUGGAUUAGCUAGUUGGUAGGGUAAAAGCCUACCAAGGCGACGAUCCAUAGCUGGUCUGAGAGGAUGAUCAGCCACACUGGGACUGAGACACGGCCCAGACUCCUACGGGAGGCAGCAGUGGGGAAUAUUGGACAAUGGGCGAAAGCCUGAUCCAGCAAUGCCGCGUGAGUGAUGAAGGCCUUAGGGUUGUAGCUCUUUUACCCGGGAUGAUAAUGACAGUACCGGGAGAAUAAGCUCCGGCUAACUCCGUG
rnacentral:rRNA from 1 species